UACGUAGGGUGCAAGCGUUUGUCCGGAAUUAUUGGGCGUAAAGAGCUCGUAGGCGGUUUGUCGCGUCUGCUGUGAAAACCCGAGGCUCAACCUCGGGCCUGCAGUGGGUACGGGCAGACUAGAGUGCGGUAGGGGAGAUUGGAAUUCCUGGUGUAGCGGUGGAAUGCGCAGAUAUCAGGAGGAACACCAAUGGCGAAGGCAGAUCUCUGGGCCGUAACUGACGCUGAGGAGCGAAAGCCAGGGGAGCGAACGGG
rnacentral:rRNA from 1 species